GAUGGUCUCCGCAAAUCUGAUUUACGUGGUAUUUGAUCAAGGCUCAGUGGAAGCCGCACACGCGUCCGGCCUCUACGGGUAUCCACGCGAGGUAAUGAUUCGAUCGAAGCCUUUGGAUCUCCCCGGGGUGCUAGCUCCCUUGCAGAGAUGGCUUUAGAUGGCUGAUAUCCUCUCCUUUGAAUCAACCUUUGAUUGGCUUGAGAGGAAGAAGAAGAAGGAAAAAUCUAGGAAGAAGAAAACAAGGCCUUUCACAACCUUUUCUUUUUCCUUGCACUAGAACCAAGAGGAGGAGGAAGAGGGCCACGCCAAGCUUCUUUUCUUUCCUUCUCUCUUG
rnacentral:lncRNA from 1 species